GAUGAACGCUGGCGGCGUGCCUAAUACAUGCAAGUCGAGCGAACAGAUAAGGAGCUUGCUCCUUUGACGUUAGCGGCGGACGGGUGAGUAACACGUGGGUAACCUACCUAUAAGACUGGAAUAACUCCGGGAAACCGGGGCUAAUGCAGGAUAACAUGUUGAACCGCAUGGUUCUACAGUGAAAGGCGGCUUUGCUGUCACUUAUAGAUGGACCCGCGCCGUAUUAGCUAGUUGGUGAGGUAACGGCUCACCAAGGCAACGAUACGUAGCCGACCUGAGAGGGUGAUCGGCCACACUGGAACUGAGACACGGUCCAGACUCCUACGGGAGGCAGCAGUAGGGAAUCUUCCGCGAUGGGCGAAAGCCUGACGGAGCAACGCCGCGUGAGUGAUGAAGGUCUUCGGAUCGUAAAACUCUGUUAUUAGGGAAGAACAAAUGCGUAAGUAACUGUGCGCGUCUUGACGGUACCUAAUCAGAAAGCCACGGCUAACUACGUG
rnacentral:rRNA from 1 species